CUGUCCUGAGCUCCAACACCUGCUUCAAAUGAAGCCAUUCCUCUCCGUGUUCCAUGCCAAAGCCCAUGACUUCAAAUGUGAGGCUAAGUGGAGUGGAGCAUAUCAAGAUGGUGCUGGCUUGACUCUAGGGGAAGAAGUUGAGCAGUGCAAUGCAUUUCUCUCAAGGAUUGCUGUUACGACAAAACAUAUGUCAAAAGCUGGACGGACAGACAUGCUGACUCUUAUGGCCAUGCGCUGGAAUCAGCAAAAACUUGACAACUUGGCCACCUCACUAACC